CGACUGUUUACUAAAAACACAGGACUCUGCAAACACGUAAGUGGAAGUAUAGGGUCUGACGCCUGCCCGGUGCUGGAAGGUUAAUAGGAAGGGUGCAAGCUCCGAAUUGAAGCCCCAGUAAACGGCGGCCGUAACACUGACGGUCCUAAGGUAGCGAAAUUCCUUGUCGGGUAAGUUCCGACCCGCACGAAUGGCGUAACGAUUUCUCCACUGUCUCCAACAUCACUUCAGCGAAAUUGAAUUCCCCGUGCAGAUGCGGGGUACCCGCGGUUAGACGAAGAGACCCCGUGCACCUUUACUAUAGCUUUACAUUGCUAUUAAAAGUGUGAUGUGCAGGAUAGGUGGGAGACUUUGAAGUUAUAGCGCUAGCUAUAAUGGAGUCAACCUUGAGAUACCACCCUUUACACUUUUGAUAUCUAACUAUGUUUCAUUAUCUGGAACUAGGACAUUGUAUGGUGGGUAGUUUGACUGGGGCGGUCGCCUCCUAAAAAGUAACGGAGGCGUGCGAAGGUAAGCUAGAGCUGGUCGGAAAUCAGCUUGAUAGUAUAAUGGCAUAAGCUUGCCUGACUGCGAGGCUGACAAGCCAAGCAGAGACGAAAGUCGGUCAUAGUGAUCCGGUGAUUCUGUAUGGAAGGGUCAUCGCUCAACGGAUAAAAGGUACGCCGGGGAUAACAGGCUGAUGGUGUUCGAGCGUUCAUAGCGACGACACCGUUUGGCACCUCGAUGUCGACUCAUCACAUCCUGGGGCUGAAGAAGGUCCCAAGGGUUCGGCUGUUCGCCGAUUAAAGUGAUACGUGAGUUGGGUUUAGAACGUCGUGAGACAGUUCGGUUUCUAUCUGCCGUGGGUGAAGGAAAUUUGAGAAGGUCUGACUCUAGUACGAGAGGACCGAGAUGGAUAUACCUCUGGUGUACCAGCUGUUAUGCCAAUAGCAUCGCUGGGUGGCUAUGUAUAGAUGGGAUAAUUGCUGAAAGCAUAUAAGCAAGAAACCCUCUUCAAAA
rnacentral:rRNA from 1 species